rnacentral:tRNA from 1 species
GACUUCAUCGCUUAGUGGUUAGAGCAGCUCGUUGUGGACCAUAACAUGGUACCGAGCAGACGCGUGUUCGAUUCACGCUGAGGUCA